rnacentral:rRNA from 1 species
UACGUAGGGCGCAAGCGUUGUCCGGAAUUAUUGGGCGUAAAGAGCUCGUAGGCGGUCUGUCGCGUCUGUUGUGAAGACUCGAGGCUCAACCUCGGGCUUGCAGUGGAUACGGGCAGACUAGAGUGCGGUAGGGGAGACUGGAAUUCCUGGUGUAGCGGUGGAAUGCGCAGAUAUCAGGAGGAACACCGAUGGCGAAGGCAGGUCUCUGGGCCGCAACUGACGCUGAGGAGCGAAAGCAUGGGGAGCGAACAGG